rnacentral:rRNA from 1 species
UACGUAGGGUGCGAGCGUUACUCGGAAUUACUGGGCGUAAAGCGUGCGUAGGUGGUGGUUUAAGUCUGCUGUGAAAGCCCUGGGCUCAACCUGGGAAUUGCAGUGGAUACUGGAUCACUAGAGUGUGGUAGAGGGAUGCGGAAUUUCUGGUGUAGCAGUGAAAUGCGUAGAGAUCAGGAGGAACACCAAUGGCGAAGGCAGCUCGCUGGGACGGUACUGACGCUGAGGCGCGAAAGCGUGGGGAGCAAACAGG